rnacentral:rRNA from 14 species
GGCGAGCGAACGCGGACCAGGCCAGUGCCUCUUGUUUAGUUAGCAGAACCUUCUGGAAAGUAGGGCCAUAGCGGGUGACAGCCCCGUAGACGUAGAACAGGCAUUGUCCUUGAGUAAGGCGGGACACGUGAAAUCCUGUCUGAACAUGGGGGGACCACCCUCCAAGCCUAAGUACUCCUCAGCGACCGAUAGCGAACCAGUACCGUGAGGGAAAGGU